rnacentral:rRNA from 1 species
UACGAGGGGGGCGAGCGUUGUUCGGAAUUACUGGGCGUAAAGGGUGCGUAGGCGGUUGUUUAAGUCUGUCGUGAAAUCCCCGGGCUCAACCUGGGAAUGGCGAUGGAUACUGGACAGCUAGAGUGUGUCAGAGGAUGGUGGAAUUCCCGGUGUAGCGGUGAAAUGCGUAGAGAUCGGGAGGAACAUCAGUGGCGAAGGCGGCCAUCUGGGACAACACUGACGCUGAAGCACGAAAGCGUGGGGAGCAAGCAGG